ACAGCAGAGUCCCAACACCUUACCACUGCUACACCUGCCGAUCAGCGGAGCCUUGUCUUAGCAGCGGAACUGUUAAAUCAGCCUCAUUUACUGCUUAAAAAAACCCAUUGCUGAUAUGGCUGACUUGUUUAAACAAAUGUGGUUUCUAUUGAGAUGUACAAAAUAUGGCAUAAGGGAACGACAAGCGCAUAAGAGGUAAUCCAUCAUUUUGAUUAUGACAUUAAUGAGCGAGCUAGGACGCUCUGUAUUUUCUGCUGGCUAGCCCCACCACAACAGAAAGCACACGGAGCUGGGCUGAAACACCUGCAAUUUGGAGCUGCAAUACUAAAGAAAACAAAAAAUGUGUUGUCAUUACAGGUGAGACACAUUUAAACUGGUCUUGGUCUCAUUACAGUAUAGACACAUUUAAACUGGUCUUGGUCUCAUUACAGGUGAGACACAUUUAAACUGGUCUUGGUCUCAUUACAGAUGAGACACAUUUAAACUGGUCUUGGUCUCAUUACAGAUGAGACACAUUUAAACUGGUCUUGGUCUCAUUACAGAUGAGACACAUUUAAACUGGUCUUGGUCUCAUUACAGAUGAGACACAUUUAAACUGGUCUUGGUCUCAUUACAGAUGAGACACAUUUAAACUGGUCUUGGUCUCAUUACAGGUGAGACACAUUUAAACUGGUCUUGGUCUCAUUACAGUAUAGACACAUUUAAACUGGUCUUGGUCUCAUUACAGAUGAGACACAUUUAAACUGGUCUUGGUCUCAUUACAGUAUAGACACAUUUAAACUGGUCUUGGUCUCAUUACAGAUGAGACACAUUUAAACUGGUCUUGGUCUCAUUACAGUAUAGACACAUUUAAACUGGUCUUGGUCUCAUUACAGUAUAGACACAUUUAAACUGGUCUUGGUCUCAUUACAGAUGAGACACAUUUAAACUGGUCUUGGUCUCAUUACAGUAUAGACACAUUUAAACUGGUCUUGGUCUCAUUACAGUAUAGACACAUUUAAACUGGUCUUGGUCUCAUUACAGGUGAGACACAUUUAAACUGGUCUUGGUCUCAUUACAGUAUAGACACAUUUAAACUGGUCUUGGUCUCAUUACAGGUGAGACACAUUUAAACUGGUCUUGGUCUCAUUACAGAUGAGACACAUUUAAACUGGUCUUGGUCUCAUUACAGUAUAGACACAUUUAAACUGGUCUUGGUCUCAUUACAGUAUAGACACAUUUAAACUGGUCUUGGUCUCAUUACAGGUGAGACACAUUUAAACUGGUCUUGGUCUCAUUACAGUAUAGACACAUUUAAACUGGUCUUGGUCUCAUUACAGAUGAGACACAUUUAAACUGGUCUUGGUCUCAUUACAGAUGAGACACAUUUAAACUGGUCUUGGUCUCAUUACAGAUGAGACACAUUUAAACUGGUCUUGGUCUCAUUACAGGUGAGACACAUUUAAACUGGUCUUGGUCUCAUUACAGGUGAGACACAUUUAAACUGGUCUUGGUCUCAUUACAGAUGAGACACAUUUAAACUGGUCUUGGUCUCAUUACAGAUGAGACACAUUUAAACUGGUCUUGGUCUCAUUACAGGUGAGACACAUUUAAACUGGUCUUGGUCUCAUUACAGGUGAGACACAUUUAAACUGGUCUUGGUCUCAUUACAGAUGAGACACAUUUAAACUGGUCUUGGUCUCAUUACAGAUGAGACACAUUUAAACUGGUCUUGGUCUCAUUACAGGUGAGACACAUUUAAACUGGUCUUGGUCUCAUUACAGGUGAGACGCAUUUAAACUGGUCUUGGUCUCAUUACAGGUGAGACACAUUUAAACUGGUCUUGGUCUCAUUACAGUAUAGACACAUUUAAACUGGUCUUGGUCUCAUUACAGUAUAGACACAUUUAAACUGGUCUUGGUCUCAUUACAGAUGAGACACAUUUAAACUGGUCUUGGUCUCAUUACAGAUGAGACACAUUUAAACUGGUCUUGGUCUCAUUACAGAUGAGACACAUUUAAACUGGUCUUGGUCUCAUUACAGGUGAGACACAUUUAAACUGGUCUUGGUCUCAUUACAGUAUAGACACAUUUAAACUGGUCUUGGUCUCAUUACAGGUGAGACACAUUUAAACUGGUCUUGGUCUCAUUACAGGUGAGACACAUUUAAACUGGUCUUGGUCUCAUUACAGGUGAGACGCAUUUAAACUGGUCUUGGUCUCAUUACAGAUGAGACACAUUUAAACUGGUCUUGGUCUCAUUACAGAUGAGACACAUUUAAACUGGUCUUGGUCUCAUUACAGUAUAGAUACAUUUAAACUGGUCUUGGUCUCAUUACAGUAUAGACACAUUUAAACUGGUCUUGGUCUCAUUACAGUAUAGAUACAUUUAAACUGGUCUUGGUCUCAUUACAGGUGAGACGCAUUUAAACUGGUCUGGGUCUCAUUACAGAUGAGACACAUGGGUCUAGAGGUCUCUAGUGGUUGAUUGUUGGUCUGGGUCUCACUGGUGCUGUUCCACUCUGUCCUGUCUCCAUCUCUGGUACCAAUACACCAACAUCAUACACUCCAGACCUGGGUUCAAAUACAUUGAGCAUUUGCUUUUGCCUGUUUGGAGUGUCAGGUGGUCAGGGUUUUGCACGAUUAUAAUUUUUCUGUUGCUUCCAUUGUACCAGCCAAGUUUAAUCAAGCCCACAAAGUUUUUGAAAUUAUUUCAAAUCGGGAAAUUGUAAUAGAAGGUUCAGGAUGGCAACUUAAUUCUCUUCAAUUAUAUUAAUUGCUGAAAUGUUUCCCAGCAGCUUCUUGGUCAGAGCACUAUUAUAACAGUGUUAUUACACAUCCACAUUGACACAGACAUGAAUCAUGGUUCCUUUCCAUGUGUAACAGUCUGACACUGUGAUAGAUCACUCUGUUACAUUGACAUGGAAAGGAACCACGAUGUAACAGUUUGACACUGUGUGGUAGGUUACCAUAUUACUUUGACUAACCAUUGUUAUGGAUACUUCUACAUUCUUAUCUUAGUCCUCAGAAUUCAUACAAUAUGGAACACCUGUAAUGGGAAUUGUAAGGUUUGUGCUUUUCUUUUAUUCUGUGUCCCAUUAAUGUGCUGUUCUAUAAACCAGUUUCUGUGUUCAUGCAAGUGGUUGACUGAAUAAAUCCUCCUCUUAUCAGUAACUGCAAUUUGGCAGUAGGCCCAGACCUUGUUUUGAGAACAAACAAAAGAUAUCUGUUUCAAGGUCUCAGCUUACAGAAGAUUAGCCUUGUGAGGUGUUGGUCUGUCACGUUAUGUUAUGAAACAGUAUUGGUCAGUCACGUGAAUUAAACAAAAUGGUAACGAUUAAUUAAGUAUGCUAAAUCAUGCAAAUAUAACUUGUCUGUGUAUAGCCAUAUAUAAGACAAUUGCUGGGUCUGCCCAGGGAGAGCUCCUGAUUGACAUGUGUACUAUGGUGCAAUAAGCUGGUUGGAACCUCUCCAGGGCGCUGACAAUAAACAAUGGUUCAUUUAAGAUUGACUUUGAGUGUCCCUGUGUAAGAAUUUCCACAACACACUAUGUAGAAGACAUAGACAUAUCAUUACAUACAGUAUGGAACACCAUGUGGAAGACACAGACAUACAAUUGAAAUCGGAAGUUUACAUACGCCUCAGACAAAUACAUGUAAAC